CAGACAACAGUAUAAGUCACAUGGUUUCUCUCCCACUAAGAAUGAAAGUGAAACUGCUUCAAUUCCUUAAGAACCACUGGUUCAAGCCAGAAAUGUGCAGUCUGCAGUGUCCAUUGUAGGUGCUUGGUGAGCAGGAGAUUGCCUUUUUGCUUUUCUGGAGCAGAGCAUUUACAGCAAAGACCUAAACAUGUUCAAGACCUCUCCAGUGAAAGUUUACAAAGUCACUUCAGGGCACACCUUCGGUGCUGAUGAACAACUGCUGAGUGAAGUGAAGAAGAGGAUACCACUGACAAUCACAAACUGGCUGGAAAGCUUGAUCAUCGUUUUCUGCCCAGUCACUUCUCGGGUUGGAUCAGAUGUGGAAGCAGCCAUGAGUUGGGUGCCAGCAGGAGAUCAAAAAGUCAUUCUGGUUGUGAUGCACCACGUCCGAGAUGAGAACUACUCCACAGCUGGGACGCAGUGGUCUGAAACGUUUCCCAAUGUCAUCUUGGAUGUUCACGUUCUCUUUCAUGAGACUGAGCAAGGAUUACUAUCUUGUGCUAAAAAUUGGGAGGCGGUCGAUCAAAUAGUUUAUACAUUAGAUCGACUGUCACAGGCUCAACAGAUAGCAAAUAGUCAGACACAAGGGUUACUCAGAAUCCGUGACGAGCGUUCAGAGCGUUUAGCCUAUUGGAAGAUUGUUUUUGCAUUUAUUGUGGUUGUGUUUAUCUUAUUACUUGUCAUUUUAUUGUCAUGGAGCUUAAGCAGAAAUUCAAUUGAAGAUACUCUAUUGCCCACCUCCAUCCAACCAGAGACUCAUCCGCCUCCGACGCAAGCCUAUCAGCCUUGAACUGCUCCACCACGGAGCCAAUCAGCAUCCUGGGUUCAUCUUAAAAGAAGUUCAAAUCCACAUCUCAGCCUUCUACCCAGCAAGGAACCAGUGGCUGCGCAAUGUCUAAUUUGGACACUGAUGACUUGAUUCAACCUACCUCCAUCCCCUUCUCAACCAUCGUAGCCAAGCUCCAUCUAGCUUCCUAUGGUCCUCCUUCAACCUCGUCCCUAUCAGAGUGUAAUUCCUCCUGGACUCUUACAGAUUUCCCGGUCACACCUUAAUCGGUCCGGCAGAAGACCACCAUGUUUAGCCUAGUUCUGCCAGAGGUUUUUUCCCAAAGAGGAGUUUUUCCUCUCCACAGUCGCUUCAUGCUUGCUCAUAAUAGACAGUUCAUGCAAACCUGUGUUUAUCCAAGUUGGACAUCUAGCUCAUGCAGAUCAUCUCGCAAACCAGCCUUUAUGGACUAAACCAACUUUGUUUGUCUCCACUCCACCACCAGUUUCAGGCCUGGGGGGAAACAUCCCUAUUCUCAUACACCUGCUUAUGCAUAUUGAAGUAUAAUUCAGCCCGAAUGUUUCCUGCCGAGGUCUAAGCGCCAAUGUCUUAAAAUAUUAUAUCAAUAAAAUUCUUCUAAUUGU